CAGCUGGAUUUUCUCUCUUCUGUCUCUUUGAUCUCACACAUCACGUAUGCUCUGGAAAACUCCACUGAACACUGUGAGAGAAUGAGAAUGAAAUAGGAAAAUGCCAUCUUAGUUUGUUACAAAAUUAUUUCUGACCUCAUGGCCCUUUAAAGGGCCUCAGGAACCCAAAGUGUCCUCUGGCCACACUUUGAGAACCAUUGCUGUAGAAUUAAUCUGCUGCUUUUGUUAUACUAUGUUUUAAGCCCUUUUCAUAUAAUACUACCUGAAUGUGAGCUUUAGCAAUUCAAUAUAUUGCUUACCUGUGAUUUAAAAUAAAAGAAGUAAAAGAAGUAGAUAAUUCCUUCCUAGCAUUGCUGUAUUUCAUACAUUUUAAAUAUCUAUGAAUAAAAUAUGAAUUAAAAAAAUAAAGGCCAGGGAUCGAACCCACAACCUCAUGGUUCCUAGUUGGAUUGGAUAACCACUGCGCCACGAUGGGAACUCCAACACUACUCUUAUACAACUGAGAAUGCUAUCUAGGUGGGAAUAGUCGAUAAAAUACUAGAUGUUUGUAAUUCUUGUAAUUAUUAUAAUUGUGUAGACUGCUAAUAUUCACUCGGCUGUUUUGCUUUGUUGUGUUUGACAAGCUGGCACACAGGUAGUGAGAGUGUUUCUUUUUUUUUAUUAUUAUUAUUUGGCUUUUUGCCAUUUUCUUGGGCCACUCUCAUGGCAUAUGGAGGUUCCCAGGCUAGGGGUCGAAUCGGAGCUGUAGCCACCAGCCUAAGCCAGAGCCACAGCAACGCGGGAUCCGAGCCGCGUCUGCGACCUACACCACAGCUCAUGGCAAUGCCGGAUCCUCAACCCACUGAGCAAGGCCAGGGAUUGAACCCGCAACCUCAUGGUUCGUAGCCGGAUUUGUUAACCACUGCGCCACGACGGGAACUCCAAGAGUGUUUCUAAGUUGUUCCCAGUGGGGCUUUAAGUCCUUUAGUUUUCCCAAAGUCAAACUGGCACAGGGUCUUUUCAUUUUGCAGGGGUUGCUUACCAAUUGCCUUCUAUUUACAUACAGCUUUUGAAGCAACUCUUUUUCUUUUUAGGGUCCAAAUCUGUCAUAUACAGAGCCCUUUCAGUAAAUAUUGUGAUUUAAAGAGCCUAACUAGCUUUGAUUUUUUUCACAGAGUAGUUGAAAAAUUUCGCAUUGGCAUGUUGAAGGAAAGCACAAACACAAAUUUAUUUUGAGAGCAAGGAAGAGAAAGUUUUUGUUUCCAGAGUGGUAAAUACUUGGGGAAGAAAAAAAAAAAAAA
rnacentral:lncRNA from 1 species